ensembl:lncRNA
UUUACACUGGACAUUUUCUUCUUGGGAAAUCAAAUGUGUUUGGGACAACAGCUAAAGCUGCCGGACAGGACGGGUAUUGAGACUGUCUGAGGGUAUAUAAAGCUGAAUGGGUGAACUUCACUUUGGGGUGAGGUCAAAUUUUGAAAUCAUGUCACUCUGACAUGUUUCCAGCUAUUGCCUGUAUUCCUCAUUGUCCUGUUAGCUGUUAGUAGCAUAGUAACUUGAAGUGUUACAUUAGGAAGGGUAUCUGGCAUAAAAACUGUGCCAAAUCAAAAACUCAGAUCCAUCUGCUGUGGGAGCAUCUUGUGGAAAAAAAGAAAGCAGCUGUAAAUACUUUAUUCAAGAGUUUCCAAUGUGCAUGAAUUCACGCAAAUAUCUCACGGCAAUACUUCACUUUGUCUUUGGUGUGAACGCAAUAUUAAAAAAAAACAAGGCAUGAACCUUGUAGUUUGGGAGAAUUGUUACACCUCGAGAAUCAUAAAUGCAUACCGAGUCAAACAUCUUGUUUGUCAACUAACAAUUAACUAAAACUGCUUUAAGGUACUUAUUGUAAUUUCCUCUGUUUUAAAAAGUUUUUUUUUAACACCUUUUAAAGUUAAAUGAAGCUUUCAGCAGAAUAUAAAUAAUUGAUCGGCAUGACUUUACGUCAAAAACAUUGAUAUAUUUUUUGUCGAAGAGAUAUAAAGUGAACCUUAACCAGGGCUGGAUGGCAAUUUUGUGUAAUACCAAUUUGUACCACAAGAUGGUGCAUCAGCAUAACCUUUGUUUAACCAGGCAAGCCAUUAGAACAUUGUUUGUACAAUGGCAUUUACUGGUGAAAUACUGCCCCCUGGUGAUAAAGGUUUUAGUUAACAUUUGCUGCAGUUUAAUUACAAAAAGUACCUUUAAAAGAUUUUUUUGUCUUUUUGUACAGUUGUACAACAAAAUGCUGCAUUGAAUUUUAUAUCUUAUUGUACUGGAGAAAGAUUUUUUUUUUUACUGUUGUUUGUAACGAUUAAUCAACACGUGACGAUACAUAUGAAGUAAAUGGUUUUACAUGUUUAUUAUAAUAGCUAAACAGGUUUCUUUUCCUAAAAUAUAAUCUCUUUUGGUGACCACUUUACAACAUGUUGGUGCAGUAGUAAUAGUAGAUUAUUUCAGUAAUGGUGCAAACUUCUGUGUAACGUUCCGGUUCUAGUACCAGGGUCGAUCUGAAUUCACUCAGUAAUGAUGUGCGUUUUCUUCUUGUAGUAGUUUUUAUAGGCUCUCAACUCAAAUAUUCAACGAUAGGUCCUCUAUCAGCCUGCCAACCUACCACUGAACAUGUUUUUCAGAGUGAGUGAAGCCCUGUUAAUGCUUUAUUAUCACGCUUGUGAUGUAGGUUGAUUGUCCCCAGUGCAGAUGCGGUAAACCUUUAUUUGUUUGCUAUUUUAAAAAAAAAAAGAAGAGUAUUAAGAAGGAUGUGAAGUUAUUUUUUAGAUCACUUUUCUUGAUUACCUCAAAUCAUCCUUCUGUAGCUCAAAACACUGUUAACAAAUCAUCUCUUAUUUGCCAUGUUUCCAUGUUAUCUUUGUUUUGUGGAGUACUGUAUUUAACGUAACAUCUGAUUUAAUGAUCACGCACCUUUUUGUUGCAGAUCUUGCUGUAAGUCACGUUUUCAUUUCAAUACUGGACACCUGAAGUUUGUGGUUCUUUUUUCCUUACUGUAAACUAAUGACUUUCAAAUACAGGUUGGGAAAUCACUGCGUUUUCUUUAACCUUUUAUGGGAACAUUUACUAGAAUAUGUCUGUAGUUAGGGCAUGGUUGAGUAUUUUUGAAUGUGGUGAUGCUGUAGCAUGGGACUGCAGAGAACAUGUAUGUAAAAACGGUUUAAUAAAGCUAGGUUCUGUUAA